rnacentral:rRNA from 1 species
AUUGAACGCUGGCGGCAUGCCUUACACAUGCAAGUCGAACGGCAGCACGGGAGCAAUCCUGGUGGCGAGUGGCGAACGGGUGAGUAAUAUAUCGGAACGUGCCCAGUAGUGGGGGAUAACUGCUCGAAAGAGCAGCUAAUACCGCAUACGACCUGAGGGUGAAAGGGGGGGAUCGCAAGACCUCUCGCUAUUGGAGCGGCCGAUAUCAGAUUAGCUAGUUGGUGGGGUAAAGGCCUACCAAGGCAACGAUCUGUAGUUGGUCUGAGAGGACGACCAGCCAGACUGGGACUGAGACACGGCCCAGACUCCUACGGGAGGCAGCAGUGGGGAAUUUUGGGGAAUGGGCGCAAGCCUGAUCCAGCAAUGCCGCGUGCAGGAAGAAGGCCUUCGGGUUGUAAACUGCUUUUGUCAGGGAAGAAAUCCUCUAGGUUAAUACCCUUGGGGGGAUGACGGUACCUGAAGAAUAAGCACCGGCUAACUACGUGCCAGCCGCCGCGGUAAAAC